CUGUGAAAGCAGUGACAUCCCGACAAAGGGGCAUUACGUGCGCUGCACUUACACCCCCACGGCAAAGCUCUGAGAUAUAUAUAUAUCUCUCUCUCUCUGACGAUAAAGGUGUCUGGUACGGAAUAUGCGCACGCACGGUGAUCACUACAAAUACGUGUGUGAGUGUGUGCGCUUGUAUGGUUACGCUCAUAAGCGUUGUUGCUCUCUGGUAAAAGGAUAAAGCAUAAGAGAGAGAGAGAGAGACACACACAGAGUGUGGGUGAGCGUGAGUUUGCUCUCGCAUGAGCCCCCUGCGUCUGGUUCUAUGUCUGGCGAAAGGGAAUGGGGACUUUGUUCCUUGACCGGUCCCGGCACCCUCGAUUGGCUUUGCCAAUUAAUGGUCCAUGCAAAUGGAACCAGGCCACAGCC
rnacentral:rRNA from 1 species